GACUCCGUAGUGAAGUUCAUGGUGAGUUGCAAGCUCACAGAUGUGCAUUAAUUGUGUGCCGGGGUCU
rnacentral:tRNA from 1 species